CGGACGGGUGAGUAAUGCCUAGGAAUCUGCCUAGUGGUGGGGGAUAACGUUCGGAAACGGACGCUCAUACCGCAUACGUCCUACGGGAGAAAGCGGGGGAUCUUCGGACCUCGCGCCAUUAGAUGAGCCUAGGUCGGAUUAGCUAGUUGGUGAGGUAAUGGCUCACCAAGGCGACGAUCCGUAACUGGUCUGAGAGGAUGAUCAGUCACACUGGAACUGAGACACGGUCCAGACUCCUACGGGAGGCAGCAGUGGGGAAUAUUGGACAAUGGGCGAAAGCCUGAUCCAGCCAUGCCGCGUGUGUGAAGAAGGUCUUCGGAUUGUAAAGCACUUUAAGUUGGGAGGAAGGGUAGUAACCUAAUACGUUGCUACUUUGACGUUACCGACAGAAUAAGCACCGGCUAACUUCGUGCCAGCAGCCGCGGUAAUACGAAGGGUGCAAGCGUUAAUCGGAAUUACUGGGCGUAAAGCGCGCGUAGGUGGUUCAGCAAGUUGGAUGUGAAAGCCCUGGGCUCAACCUGGGAACUGCAUCCAAAACUACUGAGCUAGAGUACGGUAGAGGGUAGUGGAAUUUCCUGUGUAGCGGUGAAAUGCGUAGAUAUAGGAAGGAACACCAGUGGCGAAGGCGACUACCUGGACUGAUACUGACACUGAGGUGCGAAAGCGUGGGGAGCAAACAGGAUUAGAUACCCUGGUAGUCCACGCCGUAACGAUGUCGACUAGCCGUUGGGAUCCUUGAGAUCUUAGUGGCGCAGCUAA
rnacentral:rRNA from 1 species